AGUGAACGCUGGCGGUAGGCCUAACACAUGCAAGUCGAACGGCAGCACAGUAAUAGCUUGCUCUUACGGGUGGCGAGUGGCGGACGUGUGAGGAAUACAUCGGAAUCUACUUUUUCGUGGGUGUUCACGUAGGGAAACUUACGCUAAUACCGCAUACGACCUACGGUUGAAAGCAUGGGAUCUUCGGACCUUGCGCGCUCGAAUUAGCCGAUGUCGGAUUAGCUAGUUGGCGGGGUAAAGGCCCACCAAGGCGACGAUCCGUAGAUGGUCUGAGAGGAUGAUCAGCCACACUGGAACUGAGACAGGGACCAGACUACUACGGGAGGCAGCAGUGGGGAAUAUUGGACAAUGGGCGCAAGCAUGAUACAGCCAUACCGCGUGGGAGAAGAAGGCAUUCGGGUUGUAAAGCCCUUUUGUUGGGAAAGAAAAGCAGCAGGUUAAUACCCAGCUGUUCUGACGGUACCCAAAGAAUAAGCACCGGCUAACUUCGUG
rnacentral:rRNA from 1 species